rnacentral:rRNA from 1 species
AGGGUUCGAUUCUGGCUCAGGAUGAACGCUAGCUACAGGCUUAACACAUGCAAGUCGAGCGGAACUGCUUCGGCAGUUUAGCGGCAGACGGGUGAGUAACACGUAUCCAACCUUCCCCUUACUCGGGUAUAGCCUCGGGAAACUGAGAGUAAUCCCCGAUGUGGUGUACGCUUCGCAUGUAAUGCACACCAAAGAUUAAUCGGUAAGGGAUGGGGAUGCGUUCCAUUAGCUAGUAGGCGGGGUAACGGCCCACCUAGGCGAUGAUGGAUAGGGGUUCUGAGAGGAAGGUCCCCCACAUUGGAACUGCGACACGGUCCAAACUCCUACGGGAGGCAGCAGUGAGGAAUAUUGGUCAAUGGCCGAGAGGCUGAACCAGCCAAGUAGCGUGCAAGGAUGACGGCCCUACGGGUUGUAAACUGCUUUUGUGCGGGAAUAACGGUCGACACGUGUGUUGAUGUGCAUGUACCGUACGAAUAAGGAUCGGCUAACUCCGUGCCAGCCGCCGC